UCUUUGCAGUAAUGCAAGGCAUACGGCUCAGUAACACGUAGUCAACUUACCCUAUGGACGAGGAUAAUCUCGGGAAACUGAGCAUAAUACUCGAUAGAUCAUAAUGCCUGGAAUGGUUUAUGGUUGAAAUGGUUCGUCGCCAUAGGAUGGGACUGCGGCCUAUCAGCUUGUUGGUGAGGUAAUGGCCCACCAAGGCGAUUACAGGUACGGGCUCUGAGAGGAGAAGCCCGGAGAUGGGUACUGAGACAAGGACCCAGGCCCUAUGGGGCGCAGCAGGCGAGAAAACUUUGCAAUGUGCGAAAGCACGACAAGGUUAAUCCGAGUAAUUUCUGCUAAAGAAAUCUUUUGCAAGUCAUAAAACCACUAGUGAAUAAGGGGUGGGCAAGUUCUGGUGUCAGCCGCCGCGGUAAAACCAGCACCUCAAGUGGUCAGGAGGAUUAUUGGGCCUAAAGCAUCCGUAGCCUGUUCUAUAAGUUUGCGGUUAAAUCUAUACGCUCAACGUAUAGGCUGCCGUAAAUACUGUGGAACUAGGGAGUGGGAGAGGUAGACGGUACUCGAUAGGAAGGGGUAAAAUCCUUUGAUCUAUUGAUGACCACCUGUGGCGAAGGCGGUCUACCAGAACACGUUCGACGGUGAGGGAUGAAAGCUGGGGGAGCAAACCGGAUUAGAUACCCGGGUAGUCCCAGCUGUAAGCUAUGCAAACUCAGUGAUGCACUGGCUUAUGGCCAGUGCAG
rnacentral:rRNA from 1 species